GUAGGCCUACGGGGCGCAGCAGUGAGGAAUAUUGGUCAAUGGCCGGAAGGCUGAACCAGCCAAGCCGCGUGAAGGACGAAGGUGCCAAGCAUUGUAAACUUCUUUUGUCAAGGGACAAAAUCAGGCUCGAGAGCCUGACCGAGGGUACUUGAAGAAAAAGCAUCGGCUAACUCCGUGCCAGCAGCCGCGGUAAUACGGAGGAUGCGAGCGUUAUCCGGAUUUACUGGGUGUAAAGGGAGCGUAGACGGCAGGGCAAGUCUGGAGUGAAAGGCGGGGGCUCAACCCCCGGACUGCUCUGGAAACUG
rnacentral:rRNA from 1 species